GAGCGAGCGCCGGUCCUGCGCGCGUGCGGCGUGGCGCUCCGGCGCCGCUCGCUGCUCCGGUGCCGCGCAGAGCCGAGCGGCGCCCGCGGGGUGUGCGCGCUGCAGGGCGGACCACUGCUGCCCGGGCCCGCGGGGGUGGCGGCUGGGGACGACGGUCGCCCUCUGCCGCGGCGGGUGCGGGUGCCUGGACUCUGGGGAAGCCGCGGCCACUGCCCCGGGCCGGCAGUGCACGAGCCCGGCCGCCGGCUGCCCACCCUGUCCCCUGCACACGUACCGAGCGGUCGCUGCGACCCGACGCCCGGCGCAUCUUCCGCGGGUGGCGGGUGUGGGCGGCGGGCCCGCGGGGUGGUGCGGCCGGGGAAGGGAGGCUGCACCUUCUGUCCGGGUCCCCCGGGUUGCUUGCGGGCGGCGCCGCGGCCCAGGCGGUGAUGCGGGACGACUGAGGGCGAUCAUCUGGGAGGACGCCGUCCCCUGCCCCACCGGCGCGGUGGUAUCUCCCUUAAAGAAGCCGGAACCUCAUUGUUCCCGGCGAUGGAGAAACUGAGGCAUAUAGAGGUGAAAGACCUGCCAAGAACCACACAAAAUUGAUCAAGUGACAAAUUGGAGUUACAGCUGCGGACACCAAACCCUGGGAGGAGCGUCAGCAAUUGCCUGACGCUCCUCCCAGAACACUCCGUUCUCAUGGUCUCAUCACAGCCGUGGCUUUGGGCUUCAGGGGACAGUUCAUCUCUGCUGCUUUUGGCAUCCACCAGGGCUGAGGCUGGGAACCAGCAGAGGAGACUUGCUUUCAUAUGACAGGCAGUCCAUGCCUGGACUCGGCUGGCACUGGCAGCUGGGACAUCUGAGGGGGACCCUCCACACGCUCACCUUGUAGUUCUUGGGUUUCGGAUUCCGAGAUGCCGUCUGCCUUUUCUUCCCCAGCCCUCAGUCUUCUGUACAGCUGUUCUAUUUUGGUUUUGAGACAGGGUUUCAUGUAGCCCAGGUUGGCCCCUAACUUGCUAUGUAGUUGAGGGUAACCCUUAACUCCCGAUCUUCCUGCCUUCACCUCCCAAGUGCUGGGAUAACAGACAUGCUUUGCCAUACCCAGCUUCCUGUGUGUUUUACAAGUAAUAUUUUAUGGACAAAGUCCAGGUUGCCUUACUGUGCCUAUUCUACGACACACACUAGGGAACUAACAGACUGUACUGAGAAAAUUUUUCUUCCUACUAGAUCUCUCUCUUAUGAAAAACCAUGGACCCCAGUUUGUGUUGGCGUACUACUUCUGGUCACCGGGCCUUCCCUGGAGCGUGGUCAAUAUACCAGGUGUAUCUGCUGAAGAAAACUGACUUCCCUCUCUCAGAACCAGCAGCUCUCAAAGGCCAAUCAUUCCUCAUAGCUCCUCACUCAUGGUGGGACUUCAUGGCCACCUCUUCCCCCACACUGGGAUUCUGUCUGGCUUGAGCUUGUGGAGGUCCUGGGCCUGUUCUCACAGUCUGUGCCUUCAUCUGUGCCUUGGUCAGCUACAUCUGGGAACAGUUUCCUUAUCCUCACUCACUACCUCUGACUCUCUUACAUUGACAGAUCCCUGAGCCCCGACGGAAGGGCUGUGGUAUAGAUAUCCCAUUUAGAGUCACUACUGUAGUGACCAUUGUGGGUUUCUAUAUUGAUUAUCAUCUACUGCAAGAAGCUUUUCUGAUGAGAGUCAAGCAAUGUACUGCUCUAUGGGUCCAGUGGUCAGUCGCUAUGAAUUAUUUUAUCGCUAUGGUAUCUCAGCAGGAUAAUAAUAGUGGGUUUUCUCCCAGGGCC
rnacentral:lncRNA from 1 species